rnacentral:rRNA from 1 species
GACGCUGGCGGCGUGGAUAAGACAUGCAAGUCGAACGGGACAGUCUUGUAGCAAUAUGAGACUGUUCAGUGGCGAACGGGUGCGUAACACGUGGGUCACAUUCCGGGAAGUGAGAAAUAGCCCAGGGAAACUUGGAUUAAUAUCUCAUGUGGUCGCAAGACUAAAGGCGCAAGCCGCUUCCUGAUUGGCCCGCGGCCUAUCAGCUAGUUGGUGAGGUAAUGGCUCACCAAGGCAACGACGGGUAGCUGGUCUGAGAGGACGACCAGCCACACUGGAACUGAGACACGGUCCAGACACCUACGGGUGGCAGCAGUCGAGAAUCUUUCACAAUGGGGGAAACCCUGAUGGAGCGACGCCGCGUGGAGGUUAAGGUCUUCGGAUUGUAAACUCCUGUCAUGCGAGAACAAAGCCCGCAAGGGCGUGAUAGUACCGCAAGAGGAAGAGACGGCUAACUCUGUGCCAGCAGCCGCGGUAAUACAGAGGUCUCAAGCGUUGUUCGGAAUUACUGGGCGUAAAGGGUGCGCAGGCCGCGCGGGCAGUCAAUUGUGUAAUCCAGGGGCUCAACCCCUGAACUGCGCUUGAUACUUUCCGCGCUCGAACCUUGGAGAGGAGUCUGGAAUUUCUCGGUGUAGCAGUGAAAUGCGUGGAUAUCGAGAAGAACACUUAGGGCGAAAGCAAGACUCUGGACAAGUGUUGACGCU